AUAAGAUCUUUAAAAAUUUACUAAGUUGAAUUUUGUUUUUUAACAGAUUUGGUGGCAGUGGAAGGAUCUGAAGUGAACUUCUGAUUGCUUCAGGGACAAUGAGGAACACAGGACACAAUUGGAAACAUUGGCUAAAAUAUCAAAUCUUAUGGCUGAGAGAGAUGUGUAUAGACCCCGAUAUGAUCAGACAGCUUUAAAGAACUACUUGGAAAAAUCAUCCCUGUACCUUGAUUAUAGGAUUCCCAGCAGCCUCCAGAACAAAGAUUUCCCUUGAGUAUCCUCCAAAGGAACUAUAACAGAAACUCCUCACCAUCCAGAUGGCAUCCAAACUUCAGGGACUUGAACAUUAGAUAUACAUCUCACAGCUGAAGAAGUCUCCACCUGACAUCUGGUUCUGUACACCAGCUGGAGAACUCAAAAUCAAAUUGACUAAGAAGAGAAGUCACCUACAUCAAGGUGCCAUUGGGAGCCAUUCUGCUGAAAAUUAAAAAGUCUGCUGAUGAUCCCUGACAGGUAUAUCCCAAGAUACCUAGGACUGAAAUUGUUAGGUCUUAAGCUGCUUUUAUACCUAUCUGAGCCAAGACCAAGAGUACCUGCAGACUGAUCUCAGAAAAUGGUACAAACACCAUGUGGAUGAUGUGGCCUCAUCAAUAUCAGACUCUCAAUCCCCUCUCCCUCCAUCCGUCUAUAUCCCUGUACUAACCCCUCCUUUCUCAUUGUGUUUCUCCUGGCCAUCGAAGCAAGGGUUUUUACACCUCCAUAAUCUCACACCUGGCACUCAUUUUAGAGUCUGCUAUAUUUCCUUGUAGAGACUGGUGCAUUUUGUUUUUGUUUUUUUUUCCCCUUUUCUAUAUUUUCCCUGCCCUAAUUUACAUUAUUCUAAAUAAACUGAGCCUACCAUAUUCCAUAGAGUGGGUGGUGACAAGAUUCUAUCCUAAGUUAUCUUCCUGAAGGGUCUCUUAGAUUUAAGGAGUCUUAGGGAAAAGGUGGAGGAGGGACAGCCAGCAGCUACUGAAGGUACUUCCUCUGCCCUGGCCUUAGUUGUCUCUGGGGCAAGUGUCUGUCUUACUCUUUUUCUACUCUAAGAAUAAUGAAUUUUAUUGACUUUUAAAGAAGAUUCACUGCUGAAAUAAUAAAUCUUUAUGAACA